GAACACCGGGCGGGAGAGUCCUCCUCACCAGCCGGUGGCGAGGCGCCGAAGGAGCAAACUCCCCGGAAACUCUCAGGCGCCAGGACCGUCCGGAUCAG
rnacentral:ncRNA from 2 species